GGGGAAUUUUCCGCAAUGGGCGAAAGCCUGACGGAGCAAUACCGCGUGAGGGAGGAAGGCUCUUGGGUUGUAAACCUCUUUUCUCAAGGAAGAAAAAAAUGACGGUACUUGAGGAAUAAGCAUCGGCUAACUCCGUGCCAGCAGCCGCGGUAAUACGGAGGAUGCAAGCGUUAUCCGGAAUGAUUGGGCGUAAAGCGUCCGCAGGUGGCUGUGAAAGUCUGCUGUUAAAGAAUGAGGCUCAACCUCAUCAAAGCAGUGGAAACUACACGGCUAGAGUGCGUUCGGGGUAGAGGGAAUUCCUGGUGUAGCGGUGAAAUGCGUAGAUAUCAGGAAGAACACCGGUGGCGAAGGCGCUCUACUAGGCCGCAACUGACACUGAGGGACGAAAGCUAGGGGAGCGAAUGGGAUUAGAUACCCCAGUAGUCCUAGCCGUAAACGAUGGAUACUAGGCGUGGCUUGUAUCGACCCGAGCCGUGCCGUAGCUAACGCGUUAAGUAUCCCGCCUGGGGAGUACGCACGCAAGUGUGAAACUCAAAGGAAUUGACGGGGGCCCGCACAAGCGGUGGAGUAUGUGGUUUAAUUCGAUGCAACGCGAAGAACCUUACCAAGACUUGACAUGUCGCGAAUCUUCCUGAAAGGGAAGAGUGCCUUCGGGAGCGCGAACACAGGUGGUGCAUGGCUGUCGUCAGCUCGUGUCGUGAGAUGUUGGGUUAAGUCCCGCAACGAGCGCAACCCUCGUUUUUAGUUGCCAGCAUUAAGUUGGGCACUCUAAAGAGACUGCCGGUGACAAACCGGAGGAAGGUGGGGAUGACGUCAAGUCAGCAUGCCCCUUACGUCUUGGGCUACACACGUACUACAAUGCUACGGACAAAGGGCAGCUACACAGCGAUGUGAUGCAAAUCUCAGAAACCGUAGCUCAGUUCAGAUCGCAGGCUGCAACUCGCCUGCGUGAAGGAGGAAUCGCUAGUAAUUGCAGGUCAGCAUACUGCAGUGAAUUCGUUCCCGGGCCUUGUACACACCGCCCGUCACACCAUGGAAGCUGGCAACGCCCGAAGUCAUUACUCCAACUCUUCGGAGAGGAGGAUGCCUAAGGCAGUGCUGGUGACUGGGGUGAAGUCGUAACAAGGUAGCCGUACCGGAAGGUGUGGCUGGAUCACCUCCUUUUUAGGGAGACCUACACCCCUCAAAACUCGAAAGCAAAAUGCCAAUAGAGAUUGAGUUGGUCUAACCUAGGUCGGUCGCAACAGUUGCUGAGCUUUCAAACUAUAGAUUGGUUCGGAUAAUGGGCUAUUAGCUCAGGUGGUUAGAGCGCACCCCUGAUAAGGGUGAGGUCCCUGGUUCGAGUCCAGGAUGGCCCACCUGAAAGUAAUUAGUAGUUACUAAUUAGUGAUUCGUAGUUAAUAAUUACGAAUUAAUAAUUAUGAAUUACGAAUUAUUUGGAUGGGGGUUUAGCUCAGUUGGUAGAGCGCCUGCUUUGCAAGCAGGAUGUCAGCGGUUCGAGUCCGCUAAUCUCCACAUUGUGUGAAAGUUACAAGAGAAAAAAUUAGCAAUUAAUUGUCAGUCAAGAUAAAAAAUUGUUAUCAUAAUCUUAGCAAUGAGCAGCACAGUGUGAUAGGAUAGUAGAUCGACAAACUCAGCAAUUGAUUGAUAGACAAUACAAUCGAACUGCUGGGUUAAUAACCAGCCAGAACCUUGAAAACUGCAUAAGUAACGCGAAAAAAGCAGGCAGACGAAUCAGAGUGCUGAAUACGGAGUGCGGAGUACUGAGAAAAAUCAGUGCAAAGAAACAAAGUAAACAGAACAAAGAAAAGUUUGCAGGUGAGACACCAAAUGUAAAGUGGUCAAGCUAAUAAGGGCUAACGGUGGAUACCUAGGCACACAGAG
rnacentral:misc_RNA from 1 species